AACGAACGCUGGCGGCAGGCCUAACACAUGCAAGUCGAGCGAGAACUUCGGUUCUAGCGGCGGACGGGUUAGUAACGCGUGGGAAUAUGCCCUUCACUACGGAAUAGUCCCGGGAAACUGGGUUUAAUACCGUAUACGCCCUUCGGGGGAAGAUUUAUCGGUGAAGGAUUAGCCCGCGUUGGAUUAGGUAGUUGGUGGGGUAAAGGCCUACCAAGGCGACGAUCCAUAGCUGGUCUGAGAGGAUGAUCAGCCACAUUGGGACUGAGACACGGCCCAAACUCCUACGGGAGGCAGCAGUGGGGAAUAUUGGACAAUGGGCGCAAGCCUGAUCCAGCCAUGCCGCGUGAGUGAUGAAGGCCCUAGGGUUGUAAAGCUCUUUCAGCUGGGAAGAUAAUGACGGUACCAGCAGAAGAAGCCCCGGCUAACUCCGUGCCAGCCGCCGCCGUAAAAC
rnacentral:rRNA from 1 species